UACGGGGGGGCAAGCGUUGUUCGGAAUUACUGGGCGUAAAGGGCUCGUAGGCGGCCAACUAAGUCAGACGUGAAAUCCCUCGGCUUAACCGGGGAACUGCGUCUGAUACUGGUUGGCUUGAGUGCAGGAGAGGAAUGCGGAAUUCCAGGUGUAGCGGUGAAAUGCGUAGAUAUCUGGAGGAACACCGGUGGCGAAGGCGGCAUUCUGGACUGCAACUGACACUGAAAGACGAAAGCCAGGGGAGCAAACGGG
rnacentral:rRNA from 1 species